AUACUUACCUGGAUGGGGUCAAUGAGUGAUCAGAAAGGCUCAUGGCCUAGAAUUGUGACCUUCAUUGCACAUAGAAGGGGUGCUGUUCUAAGGUCUGUCCUAGUGGCAGAGCCUACAUCAUAAUUUGUGGCAGAGGGGCUUGCGUUCGCGCAGCCCCUAC
rfam:Vigna angularis cultivar Jingnong 6 chromosome 11, whole genome shotgun sequence.